rnacentral:rRNA from 1 species
GAUGAACGCUGGCGGUCUGCUUAACACAUGCAAGUCGAACGGGCUCUUUCUUGAGCUAUUGGCGGACGGGUGAGUAACGCGUGAGAAUCUGCCCUUUGGAGGGGGAUAACGUUUGGAAACGACCGCUAAUACCCCAUGUUCCGAUAGUUAAAAAGUAAUUCGCCAAGUGAUGAGCUCGCGUCGGCUUAGCUAGUUGGUGUGGUAAGAGCCCACCAAGGCGACGAUCCGUAGCUGGUCUGAGAGGAUGACCAGCCACACUGGGACUGAGACACGGCCCAGACUACUACGGGAGGAAGCAGUGGGGAAUUUUCAGCAAUGGGGGCAAGCCUGACGGAGCAAGACCGCGUGAGGGAAGACGGUCUGUGGAUUGUAAACCUCUUGUGAAAGGGAAGAAGUACUGACGGUACCUGAAGAAUAAGCAUCGGCUAACUCCGUG